rnacentral:tRNA from 1 species
GGCCCCCGCCGGGUCGCGGCCGGUUUCGCCCGCCGGGUGGGGGCGUCCUCAGGAUGCGGCGGGCUCGGCUCCUGCGGGGGCCG